GGGCGCUUAGUUCAGCGGUAGAGCACCUCGCUUACACCGAGGGGGUCACAGGUUCGAAUCCUGUAGCGCCCA
rnacentral:tRNA from 1 species